UACAGGAGGUGCAAGCGUUACUCGGAAUUACUGGGCGUAAAGCGCACGUAGGCGGAUCGAUCAGUCAGGGGUGAAAUCCCAGAGCUCAACUCUGGAACUGCCUUUGAUACUGUCGAUCUAGAGUAUGGAAGAGGUGAGUGGAAUUCCGAGUGUAGAGGUGAAAUUCGUAGAUAUUCGGAGGAACACCAGUGGCGAAGGCGGCUCACUGGUCCAUUACUGACGCUGAGGUGCGAAAGCGUGGGGAGCAAACAGG
rnacentral:rRNA from 1 species